AAUUGAGGUCGGGCCUUCCCGGUGGGUCAUCGUACCUAAACGGAAGCAGUAAUGUGCUUAAUGUAGCGUAUGACUAUUAAUUGUAGUUUGAGUGAAAGGUUUGACGAGUUUUUAGCUGUAUCUAAUUUGUUGUUGUUAAAUUGAACUGUAGGUGAAAAUGCCUACAUGAGUAAGAGGGACGAGAAGACCCCGUGAAGUUUUGAAGGGUGUCUACAGGUAUAUAUAUACCGGGGUAGUUGGUAAUUUUGGCUGGGGCAGCAGAAAGGCAAGACUAGACCUUUUAGGGGGUGUUGACAGGUGUGUUUUGACCCACGUAGGUAGUGUACGUGAUUAGCAGAAGGAGUUACUCCGGGGAUAACAGCGUAAUGUGUCUUGAUAGAUCUUAUAGAUAGACAGGUUUGCGACCUCGAUGUUGGCUCUGGGUAUCCAUAACCUUGUAGCAGGGUUAAAGGGUUGGUUUGUUCGCCCACUAAGACCC
rnacentral:rRNA from 1 species